GUACGGUGGCCGAGGGUUAGGCGACGAGUUGUAGCCUCGUUUACAGGGGAGAAUCUCUAACUACCAGACC
rnacentral:tRNA from 1 species